AUGAACGCUGGCGGCGUGCCUAAUCCAUGCAAGUCGAGCGAACAGACGAGUAGCUUUCUCCUCUUACGUUUGCGGCGUACCGGUGAGUUACACGUUGCUAACCUACCUAUAUUUCUGGGAUAACUUCGGGAAACCGGCUCUAAUACCGGCUACUUUAUUUAACCGCUUGGUUCCAUAGUUACAUACGGUUUUGCUGUCACUUAUAGAUGGAUCCCCGCCGCAUUAGCUAGUUGGUAAGGUAACGGCUUACCAAGGCAACGAUGCGUAGCCGACCUGAGAGGGUGAUCGGCCACACUGGAACUGAGACACGGUCCAGAGUACUACGGGAGGCAGCAGUAGGGAAUAUUCCGCAAUGGGCGAAAGCAUGACGGAGCAACGCCGCGUGAGUGAAGAAGGACUUCGGAUCGUAAAACUCUGUUAUUAGGGAAGAAAAAAAGUGGAAGAAAAUAUGGACGUAGUGACGGUAACUAAAAAGAAAGCAACGGCUAACUACGUG
rnacentral:rRNA from 1 species